rnacentral:rRNA from 1 species
UGUUGCGGUUAAAAAGCUCGUAGUUGACCCUCAGUUCCGGACUGACGGUGCACCGCCCGGUGUCUCUCCGUCAUGCUCCGAACAGCAGGGAUGACCCUGCCCGGCCGGCUCGCACGGGGUGCUCUUCAUCGAGUGUCCCGCGUGGCCGGCGAGUUUACUUUGAAAAAAUUAGAGUGCUCAAAGCAGGCUACUUGAAUGGCCUGAAUGGUGAUGCAUGGAAUAAUGGAAUAGGACCUCGGUUCUAUUUUAUUGGUUUUCGGAACCGGAGGUAAUGACUAAUAGAAACAGGCGGGGGCAUUCGUACUGCGACGCUAGAGGUGAAAUUCUUGGACCGUCGCAAGACGAACUACUGCGAAAGCAUUUGCCAAGGAUGUUUUCAUUAAUCAAGAACGAAAGUUAGAGGUUCGAAGGCGAUCAGAUACCGCCCUAGUUCUAACCAUAAACGAUGCUGACUAGCGAUCCGCCGGCGUUAUUCCCAUGACCCGGCGGGCAGCUUCCGGGAAACCAAAGUCUUUGAGUUCCGGGGGAAGUAUGGUUGCAAAGCUGAAACUUAAAGGAAUUGACGGAAGGGCACCACCAGGAGUGGAGCCUGCGGCUUAAUUUGACUCAACACGGGGAACCUCACCAGGCCCGGACACCGGAAGGAUUGACAGAUUGAGAGCUCUUUCUCGAUUCGGUGGGUGGUGGUGCAUGGCCGUUCUUAGUUGGUGGAGCGAUUUGUCUGGUUAAUUCCGAUAACGAACGAGACUCUGGCCUAUUAACUAGUCGACGGAUCUCCAGCCAUUGGUGUCCAGUUCGCAACUUCUUCUUAGAGGGACUAGCGGCAUUCUAGCCGCACGAGAUUGAGCAAUAACAGGUCUGUGAUGCCCUUAGAUGUUCUGGGCCGCACGCGCGCUACACUGAAGGGAUCAACGUGUUCUCCCCCUCCGAGAGGAGCGGGUAACCCGUUCAAACCCCUUCAUGAUAGGGAUUGGGGCUUGCAAUUGUUUCCCAUGAACGAGGAAUUCCCAGUAAGCGCAAGUCAUCAGCUUGCGUUGAUUACGUCCCUGCCCUUUGUACACACCGCCCGUCGCUACUACCGAUUGAAUGAUUUAGUGAGGCCUUCGGACUGGCGCUCCUGGAUGCUGGGCCUUGCCUCUCCUGAGGGGGGUCCUCGCCUCGAGCUGACGGAAAGAUGUCCAAACUUGAUCAUUUAGAGGAAGUAAAAGUCGUAACAAGGUUUCCGU